rnacentral:rRNA from 1 species
GUGGGGAAUCUUCCGCAAUGGACGAAAGUCUGACGGAGCAACGCCGCGUGAGUGAUGAAGGUCUUCGGAUUGUAAAGCUCUGUUAAUCGGGACGAAAGAGCCUAGUGUGAAUAAUGCUAGGAAGUGACGGUACCGGAAUAGAAAGCCACGGCUAACUACGUGCCAGCAGCCGCGGUAAUACGUAGGUGGCAAGCGUUGUCCGGAAUUAUUGGGCGUAAAGCGCGCGCAGGCGGAUCUGCCAGUCUGUCUUAAAAGUUCGGGGCUUAACCCCGUGAUGGGAUGGAAACUACAGAUCUAGAGUAUCGGAGGGGAAAGUGGAAUUCCUAGUGUAGCGGUGAAAUGCGUAGAUAUUAGGAAGAACACCAGUGGCGAAGGCGACUUUCUGGACGAAAACUGACGCUGAGGCGCGAAAGCCAGGGGAGCGAACGGGAUUAGAAACCCGAGUAGUCC